AGUGAACGCUGGCGGUAGGCCUAACACAUGCAAGUCGAACGGCAGCACAGUAAGAGCUUGCUCUUACGGGUGGCGAGUGGCGGACGGGUGAGGAAUACAUCGGAAUCUACUUUUUCGUGGGGGAUAACGUAGGGAAACUUACGCUAAUACCGCAUACGACCUACGGGUGAAAGCAGGGGAUCUUCGGACCUUGCGCGAUUGAAUGGGCCGAUGUCGGACUAGCUAGUUGGCGGGGUAAAGGCCCACCAAGGCGACGAUCCGUAGCUGGUCUGAGAGGAUGAUCAGCCACACUGGAACUGAGACACGGUCCAGACUCCUACGGGAGGCAGCAGUGGGGAAUAUUGGACAAUGGGCGCAAGCCUGAUCCAGCCAUACCGCGUGGGUGAAGAAGGCCUUCGGGUUGUAAAGCCCUUUUGCUGGGAAAGAAAAGCAGCAGGUUAAUACCCCGCUGUUCUGACGGUACCCAAAGAAUAAGCACCGGCUAACUUCG
rnacentral:rRNA from 1 species